CGGCGUGCAUGGCAGGUGAUUCAGGCGUGUCCGUCAUGUGGUUCCGGUAUGUCCGGGAGCUGGUUCCGCAGUGUCCGGCACGUGGUUCUGGCACGUCUGAGAGGUGGUUCCGGCAUGCCCGGCAGGUGGUUCCGGAGUGUCUGCCGAGUGGUUCUGGCGUAGACGGCAGGUGAUUCUGGCGUGUCCAGCAGGUGGUUCUGGGGAGUGGAUCAGGUGGUUCCGGCAUACUCGGCAGGUGGUACCUGCGUGUCCGGAACAUGGUUCUGGCAAGCCUGAUAGGUGGUUCCGGCAUGCCCGGCAGCUGAUUCGGGAGUGUUCGCCAAGUGGUUCUGGCGUAGCCAGCAGGUGAUUUUGCAUGUCCGGCAGUGGUUCCGGCGAGUCGAGCUGGUGGUUCCUGCGUGUCCGGCAGGUGGUUCCGGUCUGUCCGGCAGGUGGUUCUGGCGUGUCCGGCACGAGGUUCUGGCACGUCUGAGAGGUGGAUCUGGCAUGCCCGACAGGUGAUUCCGGAGUGUCCGCCACAUGGUUCUGGCGUACCCGGCAUGUGAUUUUGGCGUGUCUGGAAGGUGUUUCUUGCAAGUCGAGCAUGUGGCUCAGGCAUGCUCAGCACGUGCUUCCGGCGUGUCCGGCACGUGGUUCUGGUGUGUCUGAGAGCUGGUUCUGGCAUGUCCGGCAGAUGAUUCCGGAGUGUCCACCAAGUGGUUCUGGCAUACCCGACAGGUGAUUUUGGCGUGUCAGGUAGGUGGUUCCGGCGAGUCGAGUAGGUGGUUCCGGCGCGCUCGGCAGGUGGUUCAGGCGGGUCUGGCAGGUGGUUUCGGUCUGUUCGGGGUGUGGUUCCGGCAUCUCAGGCACAUGGUUCUGGCACGUCUGAGAGGUGGUUCCGGCCGGCCCGACAGGUGUUUCCAUGGUGUCCGCCAAGUGGUUCUGGCAUAGCUGGCAGGUGAUGUUGGCGUGAGCGGCAGGUGGUUCCAGCCAGCCCGUCAGGUGAUUCCGAAGUGUUCACCUAAUGGUUGUGGCAUAGCCGGCAGGUGAUUUUGGCGUAUCCAGCAAGUGGUUCCGGCGAGUCGAGCAGGUGGUUCCGGCGUGCUCGUAAGGUGGUUCAGGCAUGUAUGAAAGGUGGUUCCGGUUAGUCCGGGAGGUGGUUCCGGCGUGUCCGGCACAUUUUUCAGGCACGUCUGAGGGGUGGUUCCGGCAUGCACGGCAGGUGAUUCCGGAGUGUCCACCAAGUGGUUCCCGCGUAGCCAGCAGGUGGUUCAGGCGGUUCCAGCAGGUGGUUCUGGGGAGUGGAUCGGGUGGUUCUGGCAUGCUCGGCAGGUGCUUCCGGCAUCUCCUGCACGUGGUUCUGGUACGUAUGAGAGGUGGUUCCCACACGCCAGGCAGGUGAUUUUGGAGUGUCUGGCAAGUGGUUCUGGCAUAGCCGGCAGCUGAUUUUGGCAUGUCCGGCAGGUGGCUCCAGCGACUCGAGCAGGUUGUUCCGGCAUGCUCAGCAGGUGGAUCCGGCAUGCUCGGCAGGUGGUUCAGGCGGGUCUGGCAGGUGGUUUCGGUCUGUUCGGGGUGUGGUUCCGGCAUCUCAGGCACAUGGUUCUGGCACGUCUGAGAGGUGUUUGCGGCCGGCACGACUGGUGUUUCCGGAGUGUCCGCCAAGUGGUUCUGGCGUAGCUGGCAGGUGAUGUUGGCAUGACCGGCAGGUGGUUCCAGCCAGAACGGCAGUUGAUUCCGAAGUGUUCACCAACUGGUUGUGGCGUAGCCGGUAGGUAAUUUUUGCGUGUCCGCCAAGUGGUUCUGGUGUAGCUGGCAGGUGAUUUUGGUGUGACCGGCAGGUGGUUCCAGCCAGCCCGGCAGUUGAUUUCGAAGUGCUCACCAACUGGUUGUGGCGUAGCCAGCAGGUGAUUUUGGAGUGUCCGGCAGGUGGUUCUGGCGAGUCAAGCAGGUGGUUCCGGCGUGCUCGGCAGGUGCUUCCGGUGUCAUUGGCAUGUGGUUGUGGCAUGUCUGAGACGUCGUUGCGGCAUGCCCAGCGGGUGAUUCCGGAGUGUUCGCCAAGUGCUUGUGGCGUAGCCAGCAGGAGAUCUUGCAUGUUCGGCGGUGGUUCCGGCGAGUCGAGCCGGUGGUUCCGGCGUGUCCGGCAGGUGGUUCUGGGGUGUCCUGCACGAGGUUCCAGCACGUCUGCGAGGUUGUGUAGGCAUGCACUUCACGUAAUUCCGGCUUGUCAGACAAGUGGUUCUGGUGUAGCAGGCAGGUGAUUUUGGCGUGUCUGGCAGGUGUUUCUAGCGAGUCGAGCAGGUGGCUCAGGCAUGCUCUGCAGGUGCUUCUGGCGUCUCAGGCAGGUUGUUCUGGUGUGUCUGAGAGCUGCUUCUGGCAUGUCUGGCAGAUGAUUCCGGAGUGACCACCAAGUGGUUCUGGCAUACCCGGCCGGUGGUUUUUGCGUGUCAGGUAGGCGGUUCCGGCGAGUCGAGCAGGUGGUUCCGUCAUGCUCGGCAGGUGGUUCAGGCGGGUCUGGCAGGUGGUUUCAGUCUGUUCGGGGUGUGGUUCCAGCAUCUCGGGCACAUGGUUCUGGCACGUCUGAGAUGUGGUUCCGGCCGGCCAGACAGGUGUUACCGGAGUGUCCACCAAGUGGUUCUGGCGUAGCUGGAAGGUGAUUUUGGCGUGACCGACGGGUGGUUCCAACAAGCCCGGCAGGUGAUUCCGAAGUGUUCACCAACUGGUUGUGGCGUAGCUGGCAGUUGAUUUUGGCGUGUCCAGCAGGUGGUUCUGGCGAGUCGAGCAGGUGGUUCCGGCGUGCUCGGCAGGUGCUUCCAGUGUCAUUGGCAUGUGGUUCUGGCAUGUCUGAGAGGUGGUUCCGGCAUGUCCGGCAGGUGAUUCCGGAGUGUUCGCCAAGUGGUUCUGGCGUAGCCGGCAGGUGAUUUUGCAUGUCCGGCAAUGGUUCCGGCGAGUCGAGCCGGUGGUUCUGGCAUGUCCGGCAGGUGGUUCCGGUCUGUCCAGCAGGUGGUUCUGGGGUGUCCGGCACGAGGUUCUGGCACCUCUGAGAGGUGGUUCCGGCGUGCCUGACAGGUCAUUCCGGAGUGUCCGCCACGUGGUUCUGGCGUACCCGGCAGGUGAUUUUGGCAUGUCCGGCAGAUGAUUCCGGAGUGUCCACCAAGUGGUUCUGGCAUACCCGGCAGGUGAUUUUGGCGUGUCAGGUAGGUGGUUCCGGCGAGUCGAGUAGGUGGUUCCGGCAUGCUCGGCAGGUGCAUCCGGUGUCAUUGGCAUGUGGGUCUGGCAUGUCUGAGAGGUGGUUCCGGCAUGCCUGGCAGGAGAUUGCAGAGUGUUCUCCAAGUGGUUCUUGCGUAGCCGGCAGGUGAUUUUGCAUGUCCGGCGGUGGUUCCGGCGAGUCGAGCCGCUUGUUCUGGCGUGUCCGUCAGGUGGUUCCGGUCUGUCCGGCAGGUGGUGCUGGGGUGUCCAGCACGAGGUUCUGGCACGUCUGAGAGGUUGUGCCAUCAUGCCCAAAACAUUAUCCCGCUUGUACUCAAAGUGGUUCUGGUGUAGCCGGCAGGUGAUUUUGGCGUGUCCGGCAGCUGGUUCCAGCGUGCUCAGCAGGUGGUUCCAGUCUGUGCAGUACAUGUUUCCAGCUUGUCCGGCAAGUGGUUCUGGUACGUCUGAGAGGUGGUUCCGGCUAGUCUGGCAGGUGGUUCCGGUCUGUCCCGGAGGUGUUUCUGGCAUGUCCGGAACGUGGUUCUGGCACGUCUGCGAGGCGCGUCGGGCAUGCCUGGCAGGUGAUUCCUGGGUGUCCUCCAAGUGGUUCUGGCAUCACCAGCAGGUUAUUUUGGCAUGUCCAGCAGGUCUUUCCUGCUUUUUGGGCUCGUGGCUCUGGCUUGUAAGACAGGUGUUGGUGGCAUUUCUGGCCUCCGGUUCUGACAUACUCCGCAGGUGGUUUCACUGUUUCUGGCACCUGUUUGCGGCAUAUCCAUCAGGUGUUUCCAAUGUGCCUGGCAUGUCGUUGUGCUGCGUUUGGAAUCUGGUUCCGUUGUGUCUGUUGUGUGCAGCUGGCAUGUUGAAGAGAUGGUUCUGCAGUGUCAGAAUUAUUGUUCCACUGUGUUCAGCAGGUGGUUACAGGUGGUUCUGGCAUGCAACGUGGGUGCUUCUGGUGUACCAGUUGGGUCGUUCUGCCAUGAAUGUGUGGUUCUUUGAGAGUGUGCGGAGGGUGUUUUUGGCAUGUCUCCCGGUGUUUUAUGGCAUCUAAGGGGCAUGAUUCCUUUUUAUGCGUCAGGUGAGUUG
ensembl:lncRNA